rnacentral:lncRNA from 1 species
AGUGGGACAAAAAAGGCCAGGCUGUUUUGUAUUUAUUUGUUUGUUUAAUUCACUCAUUUGUUUAUGUAUUUAUACAUUUAUUUAUUUAGAAACAAGGUCUUACUAUGUAAUCUUAGCUGACUUGGAACUUGCUGUGUAGUGCAAGCUGGCCUCAAAUCAAACAUCUCCUUCCUUGCUUCUCUUUUUCCCUUGUACUUUCCUUGGUGUCUCUGUGUGAGACUGGCUUUUGCUCUAGCUUAGACACUGCAGUGUGCUGAGAUUUGACACCUGUGCCACCCUCUGUGCCUGCUUUGUGGCUUAGCCAGCUGAUUGCUAAAAUACAGUUUUUAAAACAAAUGUAUUUGAUUUUAAUUCUGCAUUUGUGUAUCUAUCUGUGGGUAUGCACACGUGAGCAAAGAGGCCAGACGCUUUAGAUCCUGAAGGCUAGAGUUAGCGGCUGUUGUGAGCAGCCUGAUGGGAGGUGUGGGUGGUGGGGACUACAUACCAAACUCGGUCCUCUAGAAGAACAGUCCAUGCCCUUUACAAACACUGAGUCAUCUCUCUUGCCCCAAAACAUAUUUAAGAAUUUCUUUUUGCUCUUACUCUCUUGCCUCUUGCUUCUUGCCCCGUGCUCCCCAUCUCUCCCCAUUCACUUCCUUUCUCUCCACGUGGUCAUGGCCUACCUCUACUUCUCUACCCUCUCUCUCUCUCUCUCUCUCUCUCUCUCUGCUUUUCCCUGCCUCUACUGCCCUCUUAACUCCCCUCCUUGCGCCCUAAAUAAACUAUUCCAUACU